AGAUUCUUGAGCUGACCUAAUCUGAUCAAAUUAGGGUUACGUCAAGAGUCUAUGUCCACUGCUGACUAGAUUUAGAAUUCAAUAGAUCACACAUUUUAGAAUUUGAUCUUAAUCUAAUUUAAUUAAAAUUUAAUGUAAAUCCUAAAAAUUAAUUUGAUCUGCUAGCACAUUGUAUUAACCCAAGUUCCUAAAUAGGUUCAGUUCAAAGCGUUUGAGCUAAACUAGACCAGUUGCCUUUGACCUAAUGGGAUUGGGUCUAAUUUAAUUUGAUUCUUAUCCAACUUAGAAGUGUUUCAAGUGUGGAAAGAUUUCUUUGUGCCCACUAGGUGUCAUGCCAAAAAAUAAUUGCCGCCCCCCUCUUAAUUGCGUUGAGAAGUGAAGGGUCCUUCUUCAUAAAGGCUCUUAUUUAUCUCUUCAUUUCUAUCCAGAUACUUAAUUAUUACAUGCUAAAUUAUUGUGAAAAAUUUAUGAGGCAUAGAAGAAGAGGAGUCCUUUUGAGUGAAGGCUCUUCUAUGCCAAAUAAAGAUAUGGAGAUUAAUUUCUCCACAUAAAGAAGUUAGAGCACCAAGAGUUGGUGCCCCUUGGUCCUUCCUCAUGUCCCCUCUUAACCUGUUUAUAUGGGGCAUCCCAUGUGGGCUAAGUGAUAGAUUUUGGAUGAAAAUUAGAUCCAAUUGGUGUGUAAUAGAGAAAAAAAAUUAAAAAAAAAUUUGAGAAAAAAGCAAAGAAAAAAUUGAGAGGAAAAGUUGUAAGAAGGGUGGUGAGACAGUUAGCAAGUGUUGCUAGUUUGUCCUAGGAUUUGAUUUUUUCAUAUGUUGGAGUCCAAAAUCAAAUCUUAGGUUGUGAAACUUUUGAAAAGUAUUCUCUUAGCGUGAUUCUGGUCAUAAAAUCAAAGGUGACUGGAUGUUGGUGUGAUCGUACUUCAAGUUUGAAGCCGGUAGUGUUCUUGUGAAGAAAAGGCUGUGGCAGCACAUUGGUUAGG
rnacentral:lncRNA from 1 species